GGCGAGAUGGCCGAGCGGUCUAAGGCGCCAGACUAAGGAGACCAACACUUCUGAAGUGUUAUAAAAUCUGGUCCGAAAGGGCGUGGGUUCGAAUCCCACUCUCGUCA
rfam:Moniliophthora roreri strain MCA 2952 kmer90.90971, whole genome shotgun sequence.